AUUGAACGCUGCGGCAGGCCUAACACAUGCAAGUCGAGCGGAUGAGAGGAGCUUGCUUCUCGAUUCAGCGGCGGACGGGUGAGUAAUGCCUAGGAAUCUGCCUGGUAGUGGGGGACAACGUUUCGAAAGGAACGCUAAUACCGCAUACGUCCUACGGAAGAAAGCAGGGGACCUUCGGGCCUUGCGCGAUCAGAUGAGCCUAGGUCGGAUUAGCUAGUUGGUGAGGUAAUGGCUCACAAAGGCGACGAUCCGUAACUGGUCUGGGAGGAUGAUCAGUCACACUGGAACUGAGACACGGUCCAGACUCCUACGGGAGGCAGCAGUGGGGAAUAUUGGACAAUGGGCGAAAGCCUGAUCCAGCCAUGCCGCGUGUGUGAAGAAGGUCUUCGGAUUGUAAAGCACUUUAAGUUGGGAGGAAGGGUUGUAGAUUAAUACUCUGCAAUUUUGACGUUACCGACAGAAUAAGCACCGGCUAACUCUGUGCCAGCCGCCGCGGUAAGAC
rnacentral:rRNA from 1 species